rnacentral:rRNA from 1 species
GGGGAAUUUUGGACAAUGGGCGCAAGCCUGAUCCAGCCAUGCCGCGUGAGUGAAGAAGGCCUUCGGGUUGUAAAGCUCUUUCAGACGGAAAGAAAUCUCUCGGGAUAACACCCUGGGAGGAUGACGGUACCGUAAGAAGAAGCACCGGCUAACUACGUGCCAGCAGCCGCGGUAAUACGUAGGGUGCGAGCGUUAAUCGGAAUUACUGGGCGUAAAGCGUGCGCAGGCGGUGAUGUAAGACAGGUGUGAAAUCCCCGGGCUUAACCUGGGAACUGCGCUUGUGACUGCACGGCUAGAGUACGGCAGAGGGGGGUGGAAUUCCUGGUGUAGCAGUGAAAUGCGUAGAGAUGUGGAGGAACACCGAUGGCGAAGGCAGCCCCCUGGGCCGAUACUGACGCUCAUGCACGAAAGCGUGGGUAGCAAACA